rnacentral:rRNA from 1 species
GGUAGCAGGGAGAAAGCUUGCUUUCUCCGCUGACGAGCGGCGGACGGGUGAGUAAUGUCUGGGGAUCUGCCUGAUGGAGGGGGAUAACUACUGGAAACGGUAGCUAAUACCGCAUAACGUCGCAAGACCAAAGUGGGGGACCUUCGGGCCUCAUGCCAUCAGAUGAACCCAGAUGGGAUUAGCUAGUAGGUGGGGUAAUGGCUCACCUAGGCGACGAUCCCUAGCUGGUCUGAGAGGAUGACCAGCCACACUGGAACUGAGACACGGUCCAGACUCCUACGGGAGGCAGCAGUGGGGAAUAUUGCACAAUGGGCGCAAGCCUGAUGCAGCCAUGCCGCGUGUAUGAAGAAGGCCUUCGGGUUGUAAAGUACUUUCAGUAGGGAGGAAGGUGUGAACGUUAAUAGCGCUCACAAUUGACGUUACCUACAGAAGAAGCACCGGCUAACUCCGUGCCAGCAGCCGCGGUAAUACGGAGGGUGCAAGCGUUAAUCGGAAUUACUGGGCGUAAAGCGCACGCAGGCGGUUUGUUAAGUUGGAUGUGAAAUCCCCGGGCUUAACCUGGGAACUGCAUCCAAGACUGGCAAGCUAGAGUCUCGUAGAGGGAGGUAGAAUUCCAGGUGUAGCGGUGAAAUGCGUAGAGAUCUGGAGGAAUACCGGUGGCGAA